GGACGGACGGGAGGGCCGCGCCCGAGUCCCAGCGCGUGGAUUCAGUCCUCAUGGCGGCUCCGGCGCGCACAGCCCCCGAGGACGACGCCUCGGCCGUCCUAGACGAGCUGUCUCGGAACUUCACAUACUGGGCACCAGGCCCGGGCAACGGCUCGCUGUCGAGCGCCUGGUAUCGCAGAAACCAGAUUCACCUUUUUGGAGUUUUGCUGGCCAUUUUAGGAAACCUGGUUAUCAGCAUUUCCCUAAAUAUCCAGGUAAGUAAAACUAUACUUUUCUGACUAUAUUUUUAUCUGAGAAUGCUGUACACCUGUCACAGAUUAGGGCAUGUUCCUUCCUGCAACAAUUUCACCCAAUAAAAACAGAAGAGAAAUAAUAAAAAAUUAUAUUUUAUGAUCUAACUGUAGAAUGCGGGUCUUGAAGAAGGUAGGAUAUAUGGUAGGAACUGAACUGAAACGAGAAGAGCUGAUGAUGGAAAAGUGAAAACUCUGUAAAUAUGAACUGCAAAGCAAACCAUGAACUCAGUCCAAACUGUAAAUCAGUUCACGAGUAAUCAAACCAAUAUAGUUUCUAAAGCUACUGAAUUAAAAUAGGUCUGAAUAUUGAAAUAUCUCCUUGGACAUUUGUUUUAGUGUGCAUUGAAAGUAUUUUCUUCUACUCUGCUGUUUGUGUUUUUAUUUUAUUCAUAUUUUAUACAAAUUUUAAUACAUUAAAAUAGUUGCUUUCUGACCCACAAACAUUGUACCACACUUAGAAAGGCACUCCUUGUUCAGUUUGUUGUUGCUGUGGCUGCUACUGUGCUUUUCUGGCAGUAGGGAUUGCAGUUAGGACCUUGUGCACACUGGUAAGUGCUCUACCCCAGAGCUCCAGCUCCAGCCAUAAGACUUUGAGUUCUUUAAUGUUCCAUGUAUUCUUCUAGACCUCUAAUUAUUUUGAAGAUAAUCUAGACCAGUUCACUAGUCUUAUAAGGAAAUAUGCUCAGUUAUCAUUAGACCUAGGGGAGAUGCACUUAAUGAGUCCCUAAGAAAUUCAUUGGUUUGCUUUGUUUUACAGUGCUGGGGAUAAAAUCCAGAGCCUUGUGGGGGCUCUUGAGGUACUCUACCACUGAACUAUACCCCGGACACAUUGUAUUUAUAUUUUAAAUACAAAGAAAUAUUCAAACCAGAUAUGAAUGAGUUUGCCUACCACAAUCCCCAGCAACUUCCUGUACUAAUUGAGUCCCUUCUAAAAACAUGUUCUUUAAUACUUCAGUGCCUUUAUUUUGUUAAUGUCCUUUUGGAAUCUGGAACUAUUUUAAAUUGUAAAAGAGCUGUUUUGGCAGAGUGCUCUAAAAUACCUCUUACCUUCACAUAAGAUACUUACUUUUAGAUAGUAAUGAUAAUAUAUAUUUUAGAGGUCGUGUAAGGC
rnacentral:lncRNA from 1 species